CCUUGCUUAUGCAUACUCUGUGCAAAAUGAAAGAUUGUACAAUGAAUCACUUCUUAGUAGAAAAGUGUAAAAGAGCAGUUUAGGUGAUCACUGCUCCCUUUUUAUUGGAGUUGGGCAAGCAAUUGAAUGGUGAGAGAAUGUAGCAACUAGUAUGUUUAAGUCCCCAGUACCCUCAGUUUUUCAGAAGGACACAUGCAUACAAUGAUUAUUUAAUACACUGUAGGAAAUUUUAUCAAAUGCUCAAUUAUUUUUACACUUAGUGGGGGAGUUCACGCAAAUGGAUCCAGUUCCAGACUUCCAGUGUUUAACAUACUUGAUUAGAAAAAUGGAAACAAACAAUUGCAGUCUCAUAUGCAUCAUAA
rnacentral:misc_RNA from 1 species